UCCUGAGGACUCAGAUGGUAAAGAGUCUGCCUAUAAUGCAGGAGACCCAGGUUCGAUCCCUGGGUUGGGAA
rnacentral:tRNA from 1 species